rnacentral:rRNA from 1 species
CGGAUCGGAGCCUGCAACCCGGCUCCGUGAAGCUGGAUUCGCUAGUAAUCGCGCAUCAGCCAUGGCGCGGUGAAUACGUUCCCGGGCCUUGUACACACCGCCCGUCAAGCCAUGGGAGCCGGGGGCGCCUGAAGUGCGGUACCGCGAGGGCCGCCCAAGGGCGAGACCGGUGACUGGGGCUAAGUCGUAACAAGGUAUC